rnacentral:rRNA from 1 species
AUUGAACGCUGGCGGCAGGCUUAACACAUGCAAGUCGAACGGUAACAUAAAGAAGCUUGCUUCUUUGAUGACGAGUGGCGGACGGGUGAGUAAUGCUUGGGAAUCUAGCUUAUGGAGGGGGAUAACUACGGGAAACUGUAGCUAAUACCGCGUAGAACCGAGAGAUGAAAGUGUGGGACCUUCGGGCCACAUGCCAUAGGAUGAGCCCAAGUGGGAUUAGGUAGUUGGUGAGGUAAAGGCUCACCAAGCCGACGAUCUCUAGCUGGUUGAGAGGAUGACCAGCCACACUGGGACUGAGACACGGCCCAGACUCCUACGGGAGGCAGCAGUGGGGAAUAUUGCGCAAUGGGGGCAACCCUGACGCAGCCAUGCCGCGUGAAUGAAGAAGGCCUUCGGGUUGUAAAGUUCUUUCGGUAGCGAGGAAGGCA